rnacentral:rRNA from 1 species
CCGAGUCUUAACCGGGCGUUAAGUUGCAGGGUAUAGACCCGAAACCCGGUGAUCUAGCCAUGGGCAGGUUGAAGGUUGGGUAACACUAACUGGAGGACCGAACCGACUAAUGUUGAAAAAUUAGCGGAUGACCUGUGGCUGGGGGUGAAAGGCCAAUCAAACCGGGAGAUAGCUGGUUCUCCCCGAAAGCUAUUUAGGUAGCGCCUCGUGAAUUCAUCUCCGGGGGUAGAGCACUGUUUCGGCUAGGGGGCCAUCCCGGCUUACCAACCCGAUGCAAACUGCGAAUACCGGAGAAUGUUAUCACGGGAGACACACGGCGGGUGCUAACGUCCGUCGUGAAGAGGGAAACAACCCAGACCGCCAGCUAAGGUCCCAAAGUCAUGGUUAAGUGGGAAACGAUGUGGGAAGGCCCAGACAGCCAGGAUGUUGGCUUAGAAGCAGCCAUCAUUUAAAGAAAGCGUAAUAGCUCACUGGUCGAGUCGGCCUGCGCGGAAGAUGUAACGGGGCUAAACCAUGCACCGAAGCUGCGGCAGCGAACGUAUCACUUAAAGCGAUUCAGCGGGUUACGAUUGACGGAGCGAAGCGACGUCAAAGCGUAUACAAAGUCGAGUCGGUUUAAGGAUACGUUCGUUGGGUAGGGGAGCGUUCUGUAAGCCUGUGAAGGUGGCCUGUGAGGGUUGCUGGAGGUAUCAGAAGUGCGAAUGCUGACAUAAGUAACGAUAAAGCGGGUGAAAAGCCCGCUCGCCGGAAGACCAAGGGUUCCUGUCCAACGUUAAUCGGGGCAGGGUGAGUCGACCCCUAAGGCGAGGCCGAAAGGCGUAGUCGAUGGGAAACGGGUUAAUAUUCCCGUACUUGGUGUUACUGCGAAGGGGGGACGGAGAAGGCUAUGUUGGCCGGGCGACGGUUGUCCCGGUUUAAGCGUGUAGGUGUGUGUUCCAGGUAAAUCCGGUUCACUUUAACACUGAGGCGUGAUGACGAGGCACUACGGUGCUGAAGUAACAAAUGCCCUGCUUCCAGGAAAAGCCUCUAAGCAUCAGGUAACAUCAAAUCGUACCCCAAACCGACACAGGUGGUCAGGUAGAGAAUACCAAGGCGCUUGAGAGAACUCGGGUGAAGGAACUAGGCAAAAUGGUGCCGUAACUUCGGGAGAAGGCACGCUGACACGUAGGUGAAGUGAUUUACUCAUGGAGCUGAAGUCAGUCGAAGAUACCAGCUGGCUGCAACUGUUUAUUAAAAACACAGCACUGUGCAAACACGAAAGUGGACGUAUACGGUGUGACGCCUGCCCGGUGCCGGAAGGUUAAUUGAUGGGGUCAGCGCAAGCGAAGCUCCUGAUCGAAGCCCCGGUAAACGGCGGCCGUAACUAUAACGGUCCUAAGGUAGCGAAAUUCCUUGUCGGGUAAGUUCCGACCUGCACGAAUGGCGUAAUGAUGGCCAGGCUGUCUCCACCCGAGACUCAGUGAAAUUGAACUCGCUGUGAAGAUGCAGUGUACCCGCGGCAAGACGGAAAGACCCCGUGAACCUUUACUAUAGCUUGACACUGAACAUUGAGCCUUGAUGUGUAGGAUAGGU